GCAAGUCGAGCGCUUCCCUUCGGGGAGGAGCGGCGGACGGGUUAGUAACGCGUGGGAACAUACCCUUCUCUACGGAAUAGCCUUUGGAAACGAAGAGUAAUACCGUAUACGCCCUUCGGGGGAAAGAUUUAUCGGAGAGGGAUUGGCCCGCGUUAGAUUAGAUAGUUGGUGGGGUAAUGGCCUACCAAGACUGUGAUCAAUAGCUGAUUUGAGAGGAUGAUC
rnacentral:rRNA from 1 species